CCGUGGUGGAGGCUGGGGACAGCCCCAUGAUGGUGGCUAG
rfam:Heterocephalus glaber contig46583, whole genome shotgun sequence.